CUAGAAGUAAAAAAUUAUAUUAAAAUGAAGGAAAAAGCCAUGAAGUUCAGCCUAAACCCACCAUUCCAGCCCAGAUUUUAUACUAAACUCUGUCAAAAAAUAGCCACACACGUGACUUAUUCAUCAGCAAAAUGCCAAAACGAAUUAGGUCAUUUUCUUUCAUCAAUUCGUCACUCCUUCCCCUUCAAAUGGCUAGAGCUCCAAGUUGCUUCCACCUUGAACAGAGGCUCCUCACUUUUGUAUAAACUUCAAUAACUUAAUCAACUAUCCUCAGUUCUCUCUCUCGGUGACAAAUUCAGUCAAGAAGAGGCCAAAAGACUUCUGAUUUUUCGAUCUGCUAAAGAGCAGAGGUUUGAUUCAAAAUUAAAAUGACUAGUUUUUCCUUUGAUUUCUACCCAAAUUCCAAUAAGAGCAACCUUAGUUUGUCACAAUAAAUAACAGCUCUUACAUCCAUUCUCAACCAAGCUUUUCUUCCCCCGAUAUAAAGUUGAAACACUCCUUCCCGCUCUCAAAAAAUAUCUUUUGUACUCUUUCGAUCUCGGCUAAAAAAUCUGGUAUUGAGCUUACUUGAGUUUGUCGUUUUUCGAACUUAGGACUUCGAUCAAAGCACCUCUUUUCACUGCCCGGCAACAGCUAUAAUUGAUCACCUUUUACACUUAGCAAUCCCUUUUCUUCUGAGUGGAGAAUUAUCAGUUUUGGAGUCUUAAGAUGAAGACUGUUUUCAAGUCUCAAGAAUUGUGGGAUGUAGUUGAUACUGGAAUUUCGAAAGAGAAUGCAAAGUAACUGAGAGAACAUCGAAAAGAGAUUCAAAAGCUUGUUUCAUCAUACAACAAGCUCUUUAUGAUGAUAAUUUUCCUCGCAUAUCAACCACGGAAACCUUCAAACAUGCACGGGAGAUCUUUAAACAAGAGUACUUACGUGAAGACAAGGUUGAAGGCAAGUGAAGGUUCCUAGAAGACAAAGAGUGGGAAGUUUACUCUCUCAAGACUUGGUAUGUCCUCAUAUAUUUGAGGAUAUAGUCUAUGUUUUUUUUACUUCUUAUUUAAGAAUUGUAUAAGACUUAUUAUGUAUUUCUUUCAAUGUAAAGGGAUGUGACCCUAAAAUAUUUGACUUGUGUCUUUAAGAUGACUUAUGACUAUGAGAAUUAUUCCUUAGUAUUUCAUAAAAGAGCUUAUUAUUA